rnacentral:lncRNA from 1 species
UAACAUAUACAUACAUACAUACAUACUAGCAGAGUUCAUUCAGACGAUCGAUGCAUUUCUAGCUGGUCCCUUUUCACUGGAGCAGUCAUGGUGGUAUCGAACAUGCAUGGAAGGAAGAAAGUAGAUAUUAAUUAAAAAGGUUUAACACAUGAGCCGACGUUGGAGGCCUCUGAAUUAAUUGUAAAGAAAAAUUCUAUUUACUGACUAAAAGAAGAAGGUGGUAUUUUUAUCCAAUUGGUGCCAUUGUUUCUUUCCUUUAUGUUCCAAGAAAGACUAUGAUAUGGAUCUCACUCACCUCUCUCUGUUGUGGCGCAGCAGAUGAGAAUAGAGUAAAUAUAUUGCACUAAUAAACCACACACCGUAAAUAUUUCUCAGGUAAGUUGGAAGUGGCGGUAGUCCGCCACACUUAAAAUCACUAUGGAUGGGUG